rnacentral:rRNA from 1 species
GAUGAACGCUAGCGGGAGGCUUAACACAUGCAAGUCGAGCGGGAAGGGUAGCAAUACCCUGAGAGCGGCGCACGGGUGCGUAACGCGUAUGCAACCUGCCUUAUACAGGGGGAUAGCCCAUGGAAACGUGGAUUAAUAUCCCAUAGGACUUAUUGAUCGCAUGGUUUAUAAGUUAAACUACGGUGGUAUAAGAUGGGCAUGCGUCUGAUUAGGUAGUUGGUAGGGUAACGGCCUACCAAGCCGACGAUCAGUAGGGGUUCUGAGAGGAUUACCCCCCACACUGGUACGUGAGGACACGGACCGACGACUCCUACCGGGAGGGCAG